UACGAAGGGGGCUAGCGUUGCUCGGAAUCACUGGGCGUAAAGGGUGCGUAGGCGGGUCUUUAAGUCAGGGGUGAAAUCCUGGAGCUCAACUCCAGAACUGCCUUUGAUACUGAGGAUCUUGGAGUUCGGGAGAGGUGAGUGGAACUGCGAGUGUAGAGGUGAAAUUCGUAGAUAUUCGCAAGAACACCAGUGGCGAAGGCGGCUCACUGGCCCGAUACUGACGCUGAGGCACGAAAGCGUGGGAAGCAAACAGGG
rnacentral:rRNA from 1 species